AAAUGAUCCACAUUACGAGAAUUUCUGCAGAGAAAACAAGCAAAUUAUUUUUCAAGACACAUUUGCAGAAAAGAGUGUUGCCUUAAAUCCUUGAAUUCUGACUACAGGGUUCUGCUGCCUCAUCUGACCAUUACACAAAUAAGGCUGGAAGGACCACUGCUUUAACUCAACAGGGUGGCUCACCAUUACUGUUCUGCAAGAGGUGCACCACUGUUCAACAGAACAACUCUAGGUCACAGACCAGGGGUAAACAAAUGGGCAUACAACAAAUCAUGCCAAGGAACAAGUCUGUCAGGGGCGGAAGGUCAAAUUAUUGUUGAUCUAUCCAGAGUGGGCACAGAAAAGGAAUCCUUGGUGCAGCUCUAAGAUCAUCAGAAAGACCUGCAGAGCCUUCAGGAUGGGCAAAGACAAGCCUUCAUACAUGGACUAGAGGGCUGCAAGGGC